rnacentral:lncRNA from 10 species
AGGGAGCAGCCUGUUCUGCCAAAUCACACAAGGGCAUGUGUUUUCAUGACAUUAUUGCUUUUGAGUGUGCUGGCCUAGCAAUAAUAUGAUUUUUUUUUCCUAAGUGGAAAUUGUAAUAUUUAAGUAUUAAUACCUCUGUUUAAGGUUCAUUUUGAACGCCUUGGUGACCCUAUGUUUUUUUCUUUGUUUUUUGUUUUGUUUUUUUUUUUUUUGUUUUUUUUUUUUGUUUUUUUGAGAUGAAGUCUUCCUCUGUUGCCCAGGCUGGAGUGCAGUGGCGCAUUCUUGGCUCACUGCAACCUUCGCCUCCCAGGUUGAAGCAAUUCUUCUGCCUCAGCCUCUCGAGUAGCUGGGAGUCCAGGCACCUGCCAACACGUCUGGCUAAUUUUUGUAUUUUUAGUAGAGAUGGGGUUUCACCAUCUUGGCCAGGCUGGUCUUGAACUCCUGACCUCAUGAUCCACCCGUUUCGGCCUCCCAAAAUGCUGCGAUUACAGGCGUGAGCUACUGCACCCGCAACCCUAUGUUUUUUUCUAAGAAUAUAGUGUCCCUUGCCCCCUGCUACAAGCCUUACCCAGUGUUACAUAAUUUAUUGUAAUUAAAUUGUUUAUUAAUGAUACAUUCUUGCUGUAGAAGAAAACGUGUCCUUUUGGGCUCAGUACAGUAUAUGUUUCUUAAGUAAGAGGGAUCAUAUUAAACCAGCUACUUAAUGUGAAGCAGAUAGCCAGUGUUCUCCAUGUACAAUCUUAGGGAGGGUAAUUUUUGUUUUGGCUGUGUAAUUAUGGUUUGAGGCAGCCCAUUAAUCGCAUAUUUCAGCUGUCAAAUAGAAAUUUGGCCCAGAAAGGAAUACACUUUGGCUUUACAAAACUGCUUAUUUUCAAAUUUUUAAAUGGGGACAAAAACGAAUAUGCUAUAUUAUAUACUUUUAUUUAUAUAAUUUUUUUUUCAGCAACUUUUUCUCUUUUGAAAAUGCAAGAGCCUGAAAAACAUUGUGAAUAUACUUGUAACAUUGCAAAGCUAUUUCACCAGAGUAAAGAUAUUUUGGUUGUUCAUAUACGAGUGUGUUCGUUGUUUAUCUAAUAAAUUGUUAAAACUA